AACGAACGCUGGCGGCAUGCCUAACACAUGCAAGUCGAACGAGACCUUCGGGUCUUGUGGCGCACGGGUGCGUACCGCGGGGGAACCUGCCCUUAGGUUCGGAAUAACUCCCCGAAAGGGGUGCUAAUACCGGUUAAUGUCUUCGGACCAAAGAUCUAUCGCCUUUGGAUGGGCCCGCGUUGGAUUAGCUAGUUGGUAGGGUAAAAGCCUACCAAGGCGACGAUCCAUAGCUGGUCUGUGAGGAUGAUCAGCCACACUGGAGCUGAGACACGGCCCAGACUCCUACGGGAGGGAGGAGUGGGGAAUAUUGGACGAUGGGGGAAAGCCUGAUCCAGCAAUGCCGCGUGAGUGAUGAAGGCCUUAGGGUUGUAAAGCUCUUUUACCCGGGGUGAUAAUGACAGUACCGGGAGAAUAAGCUCCGGCUAACUCCGUG
rnacentral:rRNA from 1 species